rnacentral:rRNA from 1 species
UUUAGGUGCCUAUAUCGGUGGUGUCCACCUCUUCCCAUUCCGAACAGAGAAGUUAAGCCCACCAGAGCCGAUGGUACUGCGGUAACACGUGGGAGAGUAGGUCGGUGCCAAAUC